rnacentral:rRNA from 1 species
AGAGUUUGAUCAUGGCUCAGGAUGAACGCUAGCGGCAGGCCUAAUACAUGCAAGCCGAACGGCAAGAUUUGUAGCAAUACGAAUCCUAGAGUGGCGUAAGGGUGCGUAACACGUAUGCAAUCUACCCUCAACAGGAGGAUAGCUCCCCGAAAGGGGAAUUAAGACUCCAUAAGAUCACACGAAGGCAUCUGAGAGUGAUUAAAGUACAAGCGGUUGAGGAUGAGCAUGCGUCUGAUUAGUUAGUUGGCGGGGUAACGGCCCACCAAGACGAUGAUCAGUAGGGGAACUGAGAGGUUGAUCCCCCACACUGGCACUGAGAUACGGGCCAGACUCCUACGGGAGGCAGCAGUAGGGAAUAUUGGACAAUGGGUGCAAGCCUGAUCCAGCCAUGCCGCGUGCAGGAAGAAGGCCUUCUGGGUUGUAAACUGCUUUUGCCGGGGGAUAAAAUAGUCUUGCGAGACGAAUUGAAGGUACCCGGUGAAUAAGCCACGGCUAACUACGUGCCAGCAGCCGCGGUAAUACGUAGGUGGCAAGCGUUGUCCGGAUUUAUUGGGUUUAAAGGGUGCGUAGGCGGUCAAAUAAGUCAGUUGUGAAAUACGGCAGCUCAACUGUCGAGGUGCAAUUGAUACUGUUUGACUUGAGUAUUGUUGAGGUAGGCGGAAUGGACGGUGUAGCGGUGAAAUGCUUAGAGAUCGUCCAGAACACCGAUAGCGAAGGCAGCUUACUAAAGAAUAACUGACGCUGAGGCACGAAAGUGUGGGGAUCAAACAGGAUUAGAUACCCUAGUAGUCC